AGAUCUCCUCUGGGUCCGUCCCCUUUGUCUUAAAACUGAGCAGGCAGUAGAACCUGGAUCAGUCGGACCAGUUUCCUUUUGUUUAAAACACAAAACCUGAACAGAGGCGUUCUACGACACCAGAGGGAGGGUCAGAUAACCACAGAGGAGGAGAGCCGCCCUCACACAGCACAUCUGAGGAGGCAUCAUGUAUAAGUACCUGAGGGCUGGCCAGAAACACCAUCACGUCUCCCUCCUCCCCUCUGCGGUGAAGAUCCAGCACCAUGUGGCAGGCGGCGGACACCGGCUCCUUCCCUGAGGAAAGCUCCCGGUACAUCACAUCCAUCACGCCUGAAGCCUUCCCAUCUGCCGCUCCCUGUCCUUCUUCCAGGUCCAGGCUGUCCAGGGAGAGGUGAGGGACGGCGGGUCCCAGGAAGGCGGCGAGACGCGGAGCGAGCGUCGGAUGGCUGAGGAGAACCACCCGGAAGUUGUCGGGCCGCUGGCGGCAGACGUCGCACAGCAGGCCCAGCAGUACGUCGGUGGGGACGGUGCGCUCCUGCAGCUCAUCCAGGAUCACCACGCCGUACUGCCGCAGCAUGGGGUCUGACAUCAUCUCCUCCAGGAGCAAAGUGUCGCUGACAAACCUGCAGGGAGGAAAGAUCCAUAAUCAACCAGCUGUGAUUCAAACGAAAGGGGAAAAUUUGAUCUUUCCACCCCUGCAGAAAGGAAAAUAAAAGCCUAACGCUGGAA